rnacentral:lncRNA from 1 species
GUCCCCGCGGCCCGUCCCCCGGCGAGGAGCGAGUGCCGCGCCGCUCCGCCUUCUCCUUUUCGCAAUGUUGACGCAAUCUAUAAAUAGUGGAACAAAAGGAGCAACUUCCUCGCAGCUUUGCUGAAACUGCACAAAAAAGGCAACCGGGGGGGUGGGGGGGGGGCGUUAUUUUGAUUUGAUUUUUUGCCACCGCUUUCAAAAGCGAAGCCUCCUUCCCUCCCUUUCCCCCCCCCUCCCCCCCCCCCCCCCCCCCGCCCCCCUCCCCGCCUCUCUCUCUCGCUACUGGAAGAUUACAGAUCCGUGCGCGAUUAUUUUUUGAUUCCUCGUUGUCUGCUGCGCUGGCACCGUCCUGCGAGCGGCGGAGCGGCUCGGCGCCGGGCUUCCCCCGCUGACAAUUACGGAUGAAAUCCAUAUGCUGAUGGCUACCCUGUAAUGAAGGCUCAUGGAAGGACUGGUGCACCUCCUACAACAGAACAUGCGAGUCAGUAAAGGCUGUGAAGAAGCCCCUUCAGCCCUAAAAACUCACGUCAGCUGAAACAACCAGCAGAGAGGGAUGGCAGAAUAUUGAACUCGCAUCUAUUUUAAAAUAGCUCCUGCUUGGAGUGGGGCCUGAUGGAGACACCUAAUGGAGUUGUCUGUACACACAAUCCUCUGCUUAUAUUGAGACUUCCUCGGUGAUUUGCUCCCCAACAACAACUGAAGACAUAAGGGUAGAGAUGCACACGCAUGCAGUGGAUUAUGUUCAGCAUAGCUUCUUUGGAGGGAUGACCAGCUGUCCCAGCAUACUGUUGCAGUUAGGUUCCUUUUCCCUUUACAUUCAGAUUCUACAUCACCAAGGUGCUGGACCCUUUUAGCAGAGACUGUCCUGCUGUAUUACCAUAGGAGCAAACACUGGAAAGAAGUCCCAUCUCUGGCCUGCAAAACUACUUUGUGCUUACACAGAUAGCCCUGUUAAUUAAAGAGGGUGAUUUCAUCCUACGCUGGCUAGAAGACUCUUCACAGUGGAAAGAGGGGAAUCUUUCAUUGAGACAAUUGAAAUCGCUGCAGUGAGAAUGGAAAUUACUUGGGAUCCUUUCCUUUUAAAAGCUGUAUGCAAGAACUGUGUGGUGAGUCAAACUUGGACUAAUGGUUAUGUAAAUGUCACUAAUUUUAGAUACAGUCAAGAUCUGAAAGUGUUUCCUUUCAGAAUUACAUUUUCUUCACUGUCGUGACUCAGUAUCACUUGCUAAUCUUGUUUUAUUAGCCCUGUUAUAUAUUGCUAUUAAAACACUUAUUUGAAGACUGCAUAUGUCUUACAACUUUAAGUUUAUACAUCGUAUAGAAUCAUAGAAUCGCUGAAGUUGGAAAAGACCCACAGGAUCAUCCAGUCCAACCGUUUGCCCUUCACCAAUGGUUCCCGCUAAACCAUGUCCCUCAACACAACAUCCAAACGUUCUUUGAACACCUCCAGGGUCGGUGACUCCACCACCUCCCUGGGCAGUCCAUUCCAGUGCCUGACCACCCUUUCAGAGCAGUAGUAUUUCCUAAUGUCCAGCCUGAAUCUUCCCUGGUGCAGCUUGAAGCCAUCCCCUCUAGUCCUAUCACUAGUCACCCGAGAGAAGAGGCUGACCCCCAGCUCACUACAACCUCCCUUCAGGUAGUUACAGAGAGCAAUAAGGUCUCCCCUGAGCCUCCUCUUCUCCAGACUGAACAAUCCCAGCUCCUUCAGCCUCUCCUCAUAAGGCCUGUGCUCCAGACCCCUCACCAGCUUUGUUGCCCUCCUCUGGACACGCUCCAGGGCCUCGAUGUCUUUCUUACAGUGAGGGGCCUAAAACUGGACACAGUACUCGAGGUGCGGCCUCACCACUGCUGAGUACAGGGGGAUAAUUACUUCCCUGUUCCUGCUGGCCACACUAUUUCUGAUACAAGCCAGGAUGCCAUUGGCCUUCUUUAUAGAUGUUUUAAAUUGAGGGGAAAAAAAAGGUUAUCUGCACUGGGGAUUUCUUUUGACUCCGGAGAUCUGCUACUGGUGCGGUUGCACAGGUACAAACAUGAUAUAGAUGAAUAUGAAUGCAAGUUGUUAGAAUUCAUAGAUUUCCAUUGCUUUACCAUUUGGAAGUUCAGCCUGGUAUACGUACUGGUUAAAAAUCUUUUUUUUUUUCCUGCCCCUGCUAUGGAUUUGAAAUAAUAGAACAACGUUUGACUAAAACUUUCUAAUUUAGUUCAGACCUGAGCACUUCUCGAUAGUAAGGCUAUCCAGUAUUAAAUAGCCCACAGCUUUUCAUAAAGUAUCUGUGCUUCUGUGUGCCAUUUACCUACUAUGUGUCUCUUGAGAUGCACAGCCAAAAUGAGGUUGACUACUCCAAAAUGAUUAUCUGGCUCAGAGUUGGAUAACUUCUCUGUAACCGUGCACUGCUGCAGACUGUGGUGUUUGCAAAGGGCCAUCCAUGCUGUCGCUCUCGUGGAUCCAAUAUUUAAUAUCUCUGGGCUGUAUCUCUGAGGUUUCAGAGAGCAUAGAUGCAAAUCUAAAAAGCCAAUCGGAAAGAUCUGUUUGCAUGGUAUUGUUGUGUGAAUGGUGAAAUAGACUGCUUUUUUUCUGGUUCUCCAUGCAAACCCCUAUACUCCCGCAAGGCAAUGAGUGGGAAGCAGCAGCAAUAGGAGCUUGCACUGCUUUGUUUAGCAAUAAUGGCUUAGAACAGUUGAGCUGGGUGAUGAAAAUACAAUUUGAGUAUUUGCAGAACCAAGACUCAAACAAGGAAUGAAAAUUCCAGUCUGGACUGAAUGUCAAGAGUAUGAUUUCAAGUGAUUGUGAAGACCUAUCCAUGUUAUUUGGUUCCUAAACCUUUGAAAAGAAUGUCACCUUUUUUGCUCAGUUCAUAGUUGCCUUAAAUAUUAGCUAUUGUAUUUUCCAGAGAUAAGCCUGCAAGGAUGCACUGUCUCCAGUGGUGGAAUGGAACUCUCCUACAUUUGCAGCUCUGAGGUCCUAUGGAUUUUUCCUGAUUGAAGAAAGGAAGGUGUAUUAUUCAAUCCAAAUGCUUAUUUUUCUGUUGAUCUUAGGAACUGUGAGGGGAAGAAGAUGCUUAAUUCAUAAAUAAGGGAAAUAAAAGAAAGGCUUGCUUGCAAAUAUCUUGAGAUUGUUGCUAUUCGAGAGUGAAGAUAGUUGGUGAGAGGAGCAUGUCUGAAACGCCUGUGCUGAAAGAUUGGAGCUGCAAACUGGUAGGGGAAAGAGAUGUGAAACUGGAAAGUUCAAAGGACUGGUACAGGUUGGGCAAUGAUUUUAGGGAUUUAUUUGUUUCUUGAAGAUGGAAGAAGCAGCAGCUUAACAGGAGGAACCCUGCCUGAUUCUGCAAAGAGAAGGUCAGGCUUGGGGAAAGCAGAUCAACCUUAAGGUUUAUUAGAAUGCUUAGCACUGGAGUCAGGCUGUUACAUAGUAGUUUUUGAUAUGAAAUCACUGUCACUUUCAUUUCUCGUCCAAUUCCAUGCAGAAAAGGGCAACUUUAUUACUGCAGUCUGCUACUUUGUGAAAUUUUGCCCUGAAAAGGCCUCCCAAAAAUUAGAUAGUAGUUGAUGGGCCUCUAGAGAUCAUCUAGCCUAAGCAGGAUCAGGCAGAACAGGCCUCUCAGGGCUGUAUCUGAUCUUAAUCUGCCCCCCUGUGUUAGUCUACUAUGAAGCAAUCCACGUGAUCAUAUGGAAUAUUCAAUGAUAGGACCAGCAUGGUGAGCUGCUGAGUCAGGAAAGAUGUUUGUAGGCUGUGCAAGGAGGAAGCCCAACGCUGUUACAGGUGCUGUAGAAAUAGGUUGAAAAUUCUGUAGGGAAUGGACCAAAGCCUACAAGCAGAGGAAGCUGUGUCUUCAUGGUGACAUGAGACAAGAAUUCCUAGGAAUUGGAUGUUAUAUUUAUUUUUCUGUCUUUAUUUUUGUAUGAUGCUGUACAAGUUACUAGGCCAUUGAUUUUUGUAGUGUUUAUGUUUCUCACUUCACAGGUGACUUUAAGCCAUUGUGUCCAGUGGAAACACUAGAUGUUCACAUUUGCAGCUGGUUUGCUUAAGAAUUGUAAACAUGAAUUCAAACUUGAUGGAAUGUGAUGUCCGUCUGGAGUUUCCUACAUAUUUCAAGUGGGAUACAUCUAACUGUUGGGUACUACUGUAGUUUCUAUAUCUUCGUGUCACAUUUAAAGUAGGGCUGAUAGUCACUUGAAGGGAUGUUUUUCUAUUUUUGCUUGUUUCAAGCUUUGUUUAGUAGAUGUGCUACAGGGAUGUGCUUCCUCGUGGGAUUUUCUAUGGCAUUUAUGACUUCAGAUCACAGAGGAAGAGUAGAAGAAUAUCUAUACAUAAAACUAACACAAAAAUGCUCACACACACAUGGAUUCUUAGUGUAUGGAAACGGCUGUGGCACCUUUCCUACCAUCAAGUUGCUAUGUGUACAACGAGCUGGUUACUUCCAGUUGGUGUUUUCAUGUGCGUCAGGACAUCAGAAGCCUUUUUCUACCCAAACAAACAAAAAAACCAACCCUAAAAUACUGGAAAACUAAAGGACAUGUAUUAGGUAUUAACAGUUCAUAAAGGAAACCAAAAACUUGCCUUGUAAUUGUCACUGUAUAUCCAUGUGGCAAUGGGAUAAUAGAUACUAUAUGCAUAUAUAUAGUAUAUGCAAGCAGUUACUGCCUAGUACUGUAUGGUGUAUCCUUGCUGAAAAGGUACUGUUCAUGGUGGAAGUGGGUGACCUGUGAAGAGUUCCCAGAAUAAUGGGUGACUUAAGGAAAUUCGUCAAGAAUAAUUCUGUCUCAAAGGCACUUCUACCCUGCAUUAAGCAAC